UAAAAUGUAUGCUGUCUAGAUGCCUAAAAGACAUUUCAGAAAUAGGGGCUGGGCAAGACCGGUGCCAGCCGCCGCGGGUACACCGGCGGCUCGAGUGGUAACCGUUAUUAUUGGGUCUAAAGGGUCUGUAGCCGGCCUUAAUAAGUCUCUUGAUAAAUCUGGCAGCUUAACUGUCAGGCUUUCAGGAGAUACUGUCUGGCUCGAGGCCGGGAGAGGUGAGAGGUACUUCAGGGGUAGGGGUGAAAUCUUGUAAUCCAA
rnacentral:rRNA from 1 species